ensembl:lncRNA
CUUCGAGCCGGAUCAGAAUAUAUCAGAACUGUUAUCUGUGACUCUGUUCCAGGAUCCAGCACUGAUUCCUGACGCCGUGGGGAGCCGGCACCGAAGUCUGUGCACAGCCCUCUUAGACGAGGAGAGAGUCCCAGAGCGUGAAUUCGAGUCUGAGCCAGUGACCAGGUCCACGGCGCUGGGAUUCAGUCUGGUGAUCCGAACCGUCAGUGGGACAUCGGGGGUGAGAAACACUAUUUGGUAUUUAAAGACGGCCGCAAAGAUUUAAAGUAACGUGACAAAUUAGGUUUAAGUUCGCCAAAAGGAACUGUGUUUCAACCAGUUUUAGAAGUAGCUGAAAUUACUUCGUGACAAAUUGUAAAAGCGCGCAAAUGUCCAUAUAUGUGUGUGUGUCUGGAAGUAAGUUGAUUUUACAGCACAAUAAAUUGCUGAACUACUUCCAUUUUUGUGUAUCCUGCAAGAGCCCAUGUCAUGGUGACAAAGGAAAAAGGUUGAGUUUCAUCUCAUAAAACUGAUACCGCUUCACCGUUAGGGUGAAGUCGAAGGCCGUAUCAGUAAACCAUUCCUGAGUCGAGCGUGCCAGAGAAUGCUUUGCAGUUCUGUGAAAAUGGGGAAUCAGCCCAUUAAACUCACUGCUGACGAGCAGUGGCUAGAAAAGACAUGUCCAAGCGCCGGACAGAUAAGCGCAAAUAGGUGGAGAAAUCCACGAAAAACAAAAAGCUGUAACUGGAAAGGGAAAUGCAGCCCCUCAGCUGUUACCCAGCUGGGAGCUGUCCUAAAACAAGAGAUUACAUUAACAAAAGACCCAAAAAAGAAAUUAAAACGUAAGGAAGAGUAUAGGUUUUUCCAAGCAUGGAAAAGUGAAACUGAAAGGAGAACUGAAAAUAAAAUAAAAAAAGAGGAAAAGAAAAAACAAUUAGCAGCAGCUUUAAUAACCCCUGAUGAUGAAACUACAAAACAAGCAUGUACUGAACAAAGACCUCCAUUAACAGACCCACAUAACUCUCU